AAGUCGUAACAAGGUCUCCGUAGGUGAACCUGCGGAGGGAUCAUUACUGAGUUUUUCAAACUCCCAACCCAUGUGAACUUACCACUGUUGCCUCGGCGGCAGGAUCCUCUCUCUUCUGAGAAGGGUCGGCCGCCGGUGGACUACUAAACUCUUGUUAAUAUUUGGCAUUCUGAAUUCCAAAACUUAAUAAGUUAAAACUUUCAACAACGGAUCUCUUGGUUCUG
rnacentral:misc_RNA from 1 species